CCUACGGGUGGCAGCAGUCGAGAAUCAUUCACAAUGGGGGAAACCCUGAUGGUGCGACGCCGCGUGGGGGAAUGAAGGUCUUCGGAUUGUAAACCCCUGUCAUGUGGGAGCAAAUUAAAAAGAUAGUACCACAAGAGGAAGAGACUGCUAACUCUGUGCCAGCAGCCGCGGUAAUACAGAGGUCUCAAGCGUUGUUCGGAAUCACUGGGCGUAAAGCGUGCGUAGGCUGUUUCGUAAGUCGUGUGUGAAAGGCGCGGGCUCAACCCGCGGACGGCACAUGAUACUGCGAGACGAGAGGAAUGGAGGGGGAACCGGAAUUCUCGGUGUAGCAGUGAAAUGCGUAGAUAUCGAGAGGAACACUCGUGGCGAAGGCGGGUUCCUGGACAUUAACUGACGCUGAGGCACGAAGGCCAGGGGAGCGAAAGGGAUUAGAUACCCUGUAGUC
rnacentral:rRNA from 1 species